rnacentral:rRNA from 1 species
UACAGAGGUCCCAAGCGUUGUUCGGAUUCAUUGGGCGUAAAGGGUGCGUAGGUGGCGCCGUAAGUCAGGUGUGAAAUCUCGGGGCUUAACUCCGAAACUGCAUUUGAUACUGCGGUGCUUGAAGACUGGAGAGGAGACUGGAAUUUACGGUGUAGCAGUGAAAUGCGUAGAGAUCGUAAGGAAGACCAGUGGCGAAGGCGGGUCUCGUGGACAGUUCCUGACACUGAGGCACGAAGGCCAGGGGAGCAAACGGG